rnacentral:lncRNA from 1 species
CUCCUACUUGAGGCACUUUGCCGUUAUAAGGAUUGAGUCCUUACAGAGAAGCAGUAUCCAAUAACCGUGUGCUCAGGUUAGAAAUCCUUUAGCCUCUCAAGCACAAAACCCAAAGUCCAGGCCUGUAUUGGAACAUUUCAAAUAAAGCAAGUUGGCAUAAUUGCAGCACUAUGAAGUCUGGAACAUCUGAAACAACUUCAGAGCAUCUGAUCCUCAGCUUCCAGCACAAGGAACCAAACAGCACCACAUUAGGACAAGAGAGAAAUGAGUGCAUCCAGAAAUUUGCUCCUGUCUUCUGUUUUCAAUUCAAUUAUGGACAUGUCAAAAUGGUUGUGUAAAGUCCGAGAAUUUGUACUAUCAGCAGCUUUCUCAAAUGCUCUUCCAAAAAAGUUCUUUUUGUCAGAGCUUUCUGUCUCUGGAGGAAUCCCCACCAUGAUCACAGUUCCCUG